CUGCAGCUCACAGCAACGCCGGAUCCUUAACCUACUAAGCGAGGCUGGGGAUGGAAUCCAUGUCCUCAUAGAUACUAGUCAGUUUCAUUACCACUGAGCCACAACGGGAACUCCACACCAACUAUUUUAAAGCAUAUACCACGGGUGCUCUAAUUUCAGUACCUUCCAUCAGUGGUAUCUAUUCUAGUCAUAUUGAUUAUUGAGCACCUAUUGUAUGUCAAGCAUUAGAGCAGAUGCCAUAUAUACACAUAUAUAUACAUGACCUCCCUUAGGAGGUAGGUCUUCCAAUUUGCCAAUGAAGAACUUAUCAAAGUAACCUAUUUAAGGUCCUCACAGAACUAGGAUUCAAAACCAAGUCUGACUCUAAAAGCCAGAAGUCUUCCCACACUACACCCGUGAGACUCCACCCAUAGUUUCACCCUGAGCAAGUAUUUCAGUGACAUUGGCCAAGGUCUAUAUUGGAGCAUACCAGAUGAAAGGAAUUUAAUCCCUAAUUAUUAAUUCAUGUCUAUUAAAUAUUUUUAUUAAAGUAUAGCUGAUUUUCAA